GAGAUGGAUUGGUGCCUUCGGGAACUCUGAGACAGGUGCUGCAUGGCUGUCGUCAGCUCGAGUUGUGAAAUGUUGGGUUAAGUCCCGCAACGAGCGCAACCCUUAUCCUUUGUUGCCAGCGGUCCGGCCGGGAACUCAAAGGAGACUGCCAGUGAUAAACUGGAGGAAGGUGGGGAUGACGUCAAGUCAUCAUGGCCCUUACGAGUAGGGCUACACACGUGCUACAAUGGCGCAUACAAAGAGAAGCGACCUCGCGAGAGCAAGCGGACCUCAUAAAGUGCGUCGUAGUCCGGAUUGGAGUCUGCAACUCGACUCCAUGAAGUCGGAAUCGCUAGUAAUCGUAGAUCAGAAUGCUACGGUGAAUACGUUCCCGGGUCUUGUACACACCGA
rnacentral:rRNA from 1 species